CUCAGGGUCCCCAUCCCAGAGCCCAGUCUGGAAAUCACUGAUGUCGAACACACAGGGAAGGGCAAACCCUAUGCUGCCUAACUCUGCUCUUUGUUUAUUUCCUCCUUUGCCCCCCUGAACAGGAAUCCAUGCCUUGGCCUUUGUCCUCUGCUGGGCCCUGGCACUCGCAGCUCCCCAUGGAAAGCAGAAACGGUGGGACAAAGAUUGUUGUGGGGGGUUGGGACACCAGGCAAAAGAACUUUUCGAUGCCUAUAAGAAUGAUUCCAGGCCAAUUGCGCUUCACCCCAACAUCCGUCUCAACUUCACAGGAUUGCCCAACUGCACUUUCUCAGAACCGCCAAAGACCGAGGAAGGCUGUGCCGCCAUAACGGCGUUCCUUGGACUGCUGGAGCAGUUUAACAGAAGCCACGAUCCCAUCCUGAAGAUCGCUGGCUGGGGGAUUCCGACAAUGAUCACACAGCUAGCUGAAUGCCGCCAUUGUUUUGAGCUGCAAAACGGCAGAUGCCCCAAUGAAAAUAUUUCUUACACCAAAAAUGCCUCUUUUACUAAUCGGAAAAUGAUAUAUUACUAUGCUUUCCAAGAGUACCAGAGUUGCAUGCUAAAUUUCACUAGUAAAAUACAGUUUGUUUGAGAGAAAGAUUUUGUAGAGGGGCGGCUGCACAAUGAUGAGAUCAGCUGGUCACAUUUUUGUAUACAGAAGACAUUUCCCCUGGAGAAACUAAGCCUCCUAUGAGUUAAGUGUCCCUGAGCUCAGUGGGGCUGACCUCUGAGUAAGGAUUUAAUUGCAAGGGAAUCAAAACGUCAUUUCAAAACACGAAUAAAAUGGGAAGGAGACAAUUCCUUACUGUGGAAAGUCGAUUCCUGCCAAUAAAUGUGGCUUUUUAAUUUGAUUUAUCAACCCAAGAAAUUCAACUGCAGUAUGUCUAAAUGUUUUUAAUGCAUAUAUUUAUUCUAUUUUUUAAAAAAAUCUAUUUAUUUUUAUAUUGACAUUUGUGUGUGUGUAAUUUAUAAAGAGUAAUUAUACUAAAGAGAGGUUUAUACAAUAAUAUAUAUUUUAUUGAUCUCAGGACAAAACUGAGGGGGGUGCUUUUAAAUAUUUAAAUAUAUAUUUAAAGUAUUUGGAAGAUCAUCUGUUAUAUGUAUUUCUGUAUUUAUUUAUGUAUUUGUAAGCCACCUUUUAAGAUUCACAACAAAAUAAAAUCAUGCUAUUUAAAGUUAAA